rnacentral:rRNA from 1 species
AGCGAACGCUGGCGGCAGGCCUAACACAUGCAAGUCGAACGAACCUUUCGGGGUUAGUGGCGGACGGGUGAGUAACACGUGGGAACGUGCCUUUAGGUUCGGAAUAACUCAGGGAAACUUGUGCUAAUACCGAAUGUGCCCUUCGGGGGAAAGAUUUAUCGCCUUUAGAGCGGCCCGCGUCUGAUUAGCUAGUUGGUUGAGGUAAUGGCUCACCAAGGCGACGAUCAGUAGCUGGUCUGAGAGGAUGAUCAGCCACAUUGGGGCUGAGACACGGCCCAAACUCCUACGGGAGGCAGGAGUGGGGAAUCUUGCGCAAUGGGCGAAAGCCUGACGCAGCCAUGCCGCGUGAAUGAUGAAGGUCUUAGGAUUGUAAAAUUCUUUCACCGGAGACGAUAAUGACGGUACCCGGAGAAGAAGCCCCGGCUAACUUCGUG